GUGGGGAAUAUUGGACAAUGGGCGAAAGCCUGAUCCAGCCAUACCGCGUGAGUGAUGAAGGCCUUAGGGUUGUAAAGCUCUUUUGUCCGGGAAGAUAAUGACUGUACCGGAAGAAUAAGCCCCGGCUAACUUCGUGCCAGCAGCCGCGGUAAUACGAAGGGGGCUAGCGUUGCUCGGAAUCACUGGGCGUAAAGGGCGCGUAGGCGGACUUUUAAGUCGGAGGUGAAAGCCCAGGGCUCAACCCUGGAAUUGCCUUCGAUACUGGGAGUCUUGAGUUCGGAAGAGGUUGGUGGAACUGCGAGUGUAGAGGUGAAAUUCGUAGAUAUUCGCAAGAACACCGGUGGCGAAGGCGGCCAACUGGUCCGAAACUGACGCUGAGGCGCGAAAGCGUGGGGAGCAAACAGGAUUAGAAACCCGAGUAGUCC
rnacentral:rRNA from 1 species